AUGCUCCAGUUCCCAGUUGAACCACCCCAGAUUCCAGUAAGAACAUCAGGGAAACAAAGAGCACUCUUUGCAAGAUGGACUCUUCUAGAGAAGAUGAUUGGCCAAUGGGCUGUGACGACAAAAGUCAGAAAUUGUAGUCCUUUGGGAUAUCUCAUCUUGUUAGGAUCAUCAUGGUCUCCUCAGGCUGAAAUUCAUGAGUCUCCAAAUCCCUCAGCACCUAAUUCUUCAUGAGAUUAGAGCAGUUAAUAUUGAGAAUGUUGCAAUUCCGUGAAUAAAUAGUUUCUGUUUCUGUAUUGGAAUUUCCUGUUUUCUGCACCUGGUUUGGAUGUUUGGCUUACUUGCAUAAGAAUGUACAUGUGUAGCUUGGGAUUCAACUCAGAAAGGGACUUUUAGAAAAGUCUAAGGUGGCUCCGUGACGCAAUGGAUAAUGCAUUGAACUUCUAGAAAAAUCGAAAGUCAGAGGGGACUAUGGUCUAUGUGAGUACACUUUUUAAAGCAUCCCUUUCGUUAGCUAUCAAGGCACAAGCACUGUUUUCUAAGGAAAGUUACCACAAACAACUACAAUAUAAACUGCAAAAGAAGUAGAUGUGGACAUAAUUAAGCAAGUUUUUAUUUUUGAUUGAUAUAUAAUUUGAAACUCUU
rnacentral:lncRNA from 1 species